AACGUAGGGGACAAGCGUUAUCCGGAUUUACUGGGCGUAAAGCGCCCGUAGGCGGCCUGACAAGUUGGACGUGAAAGCUCCUGGCUUAACUGGGAGAGGCCGUUCAAAACUGUCAAGCUAGAGUCUGGAAGAGGAGAGCGGAAUUCCCGGUGUAGUGGUGGAAUGCGUAGAGAUCGGGAGGAACACCAGUGGCGAAAGCGGCUCUCUGGUCCAAAACUGACGCUGAGGGGCGAAAGCGUGGAGAGCGAACGGG
rnacentral:rRNA from 1 species